rnacentral:rRNA from 1 species
UACGUAGGCAGCAAGCGUUGUUCGGAGUUACUGGGCGUAAAGGGUGCGUAGGCGGCUUUUUAAGUUUGGUGUGAAAUCUCCCGGCUCAACUGGGAGGGUGCGCCGAAUACUGAGAAGCUAGAGGUGUGGGAGAGGAAAGUGGAAUUCCUGGUGUAGCGGUGAAAUGCGUAGAUAUCAGGAGGAACACCAGUGGCGAAGGCGGCGACCUGGACGGACACUGACGCUGAGACGCGAAAGCGUGGGGAGCAAACGGG